rnacentral:lncRNA from 1 species
UCUUUUCUAAUAAACAGGGAACAAAUGAUGUUCGUAAUUUGUAAAACACCUUAUAAUUUACUUUGCCUAAGAACUUUUUUAGAAAGAAAGAGAACACUAUCACAGUUUACAACACAGCUUUGGAACUUACGGCAUACGGGGAACGUUUUUGCAUUAAUUUCACACGCUCCAUGUUGAUGUGAGCAAACUAGUAGUGGGUAUCACGCUGUUGUGUUGACACCAUGAAUCACCCUUGCUGCGUAACCUGCGUUGUGGGCUGCAAGUCCUGCGAUUGGAGACAAGUGAAGAUACGACGCCGUGUGCCUGGGAAAGGCAGCAGGCUCAAUCAGUGGCUGUAGCGCAUUGAAUUGCCCGUUUUGAAUCGGCGGUGGGAUUUACACCUAUGCGGUCGCGAUUCCAACGAACGCGAUUCGGCAUUGAUGUGGAGAGGCAUCCCCUCAAAGACGCACUGCCGUCUUUGUUCCUUCCUGGUGAAAAAUGCCCAUCAAAGCAAGAGCACUGGAGUUCUAACGGUGGAAGAGCCCUUUCCCUGGGAACGAAAGUUCAUUGUGUUUGAGAGCUACCUUCGAGAACUCCUCAUUAACUGCACCAUAUGUGGCCAAGCAGUUGGCAACCUGAACUUCAGUGUCAUGGGAACUCUGGACGUUAUAGGGCGGGUGUGCGAGCGACUACACAAGCUCUGGUGGAGAAGCCAGCAACUUGUUCGAGGUAGUGGAGCUGGAGCCGGCAACUUCCUCCUGGCUGCUGGCAUGCUCUACUCAUGCUGUGUGGUGGCCACAACCAUCCGAUGCCUUGGUGCUCAGAUCAUCACGUAGUGUGCCUUCUACAACUACCAGAGGGCCUACUUGCUUCCUGCAGUAAAACAGGUGACGGGCGAUGUGACUUUCCUGGCUACAGCGCCAAGUAUCUCACGCACAGUGUGCUUGCCAGGCAGAAUGGCUGCAUUUUACACACUGAGCUGGUACAAGUCGGAAGUCACCAAAAGUCCUCUACAAUGUCUCCAUGGAAAAGGAAAGACUUGCUAAGUGCCUGACUGCUGCGGAGAAUCCAGACAUCCACAUACACUAGUUGACAAGUACCACAUGUUUGUGUGAAAUUCGCAAGCGAAUCUAAGAAACAUCAAGUUAAUAAAAGUUUGUCUUUAUGUGAAA